rnacentral:rRNA from 1 species
GCCUACGGGGGGCAGCAGUGAGGAAUAUUGGUCAAUGGGCUUACGCCUGAACCAGCCAAGUCGCGUGAGGGAAGACUGCCCUAUGGGUUGUAAACCUCUUUUGUCAGGGAGCAACGCCGGCUACGUGUAGCCGGACUGAGAGUACCUGAAGAAAAAGCAUCGGCUAACUCCGUGCCAGCAGCCGCGGUAAUACGGAGGAUGCGAGCGUUAUCCGGAUUUAUUGGGUUUAAAGGGUGCGUAGGCGGACGCUUAAGUCAGCGGUAAAAUUGCGGGGCUCAACCUCAUCGAGCCGUUGAAACUGGGUG